rnacentral:rRNA from 1 species
GACGAACGCUGGCGGCGUGCCUAAUACAUGCAAGUCGAGCGAAGCUUUUUUGAUGGUUUUACUAGAAAAACUUAGCGGCGAACGUGGGAGCAACACGGAGAGUACCGCGCUCAUAGACUGCGACAACUAGGGGAAACGCUAUCUAAUACGGGAGAACAUAACUCCUCGCAUGUCAGAUAUUCAAGAGUUUGUUAUGCUAACAUUUUGAGAUGGCUUUGCGGUGCAUUAGCUAGUUGGUGGGGUAACGGCCCACCAAGGAGACGAGGCAUAGCCGACCUGAGAGGGUGAUCGGCCACACGGGGACUGAGAUGCGCCCCCGCCUCCUGAGGGAGGCAGCGGCAGGGCAUCUUCGGGAAUGGGCGGAGGCCUGUCGGAGGAACGCCGCGUGAGUGAAGCGGGGUUUCGGUUCGUGAAGCUCUGUUGUUAGGGAAGAAUAAAUUUGUAGUAACAAUAACGGAAAGUGACGGUACCUAACCAGAAAGCCACGGCUAACUACGUG